GAUGAACGCUGGCGGCGUGCCUAAUACAUGCAAGUCGAGCGAACGGACGAGAAGCUUGCUUCUCUGAUGUUAGCGGCGGACGGGUGAGUAACACGUGGAUAACCUACCUAUAAGACUGGGAUAACUUCGGGAAACCGGAGCUAAUACCGGAUAAUAUUUUGAACCGCAUGGUUCAAAAGUGAAAGACGGUCUUGCUGUCACUUAUAGAUGGAUCCGCGCUGCAUUAGCUAAUUGGUAAGGUAACGGCUUACCAAGGCAACGAUGCAUAGCCGACCUGAGAGGGUGAUCGGCCACACUGGAAUUGAGACACGGUCCAGACUCCUACGGGAGGCAGCAGUAGGGAAUCUUCCGCAAUGGGCGAAAGCCUGACGGAGCAACGCCGCGUGAGUGAUGAAGGUCUUCGGAUCGUAAAACUCUGUUAUUAGGGAAGAACAUAUGUGUAAGUAACUGUGCACAUCUUGACGGUACCUAAUCAGAAAGCCACGGCUAACUACGUGCCAGCAGCCGCGGUAAUACGUAGGUGGCAAGCGUUAUCCGGAAUUAUUGGGCGUAAAGCGCGCGUAGGCGGUUUUUUAAGUCUGAUGUGAAAGCCCACGGCUCAACCGUGGAGGGUCAUUGGAAACUGGAAAACUUGAGUGCAGAAGAGGAAAGUGGAAUUCCAUGUGUAGCGGUGAAAUGCGCAGAGAUAUGGAGGAACACCAGUGGCGAAGGCGACUUUCUGGUCUGUAACUGACGCUGAUGUGCGAAAGCGUGGGGAUCAAACAGGAUUAGAUACUCUGGUAGUCCACGCCGUAAACGAUGAGUGCUAAGUGUUAGGGGGUUUCCGCCCCUUAGUGCUGCAGCUAACGCAUUAAGCACUCCGCCUGGGGAGUACGACCGCAAGGUUGAAACUCAAAGGAAUUGACGGGGACCCGCACAAGCGGUGGAGCAUGUGGUUUAAUUCGAAGCAACGCGAAGAACCUUACCAAAUCUUGACAUCCUUUGACAACUCUAGAGAUAGAGCCUUCCCCUUCGGGGGACAAAGUGACAGGUGGUGCAUGGUUGUCGUCAGCUCGUGUCGUGAGAUGUUGGGUUAAGUCCCGCAACGAGCGCAACCCUUAAGCUUAGUUGCCAUCAUUAAGUUGGGCACUCUAAGUUGACUGCCGGUGACAAACCGGAGGAAGGUGGGGAUGACGUCAAAUCAUCAUGCCCCUUAUGAUUUGGGCUACACACGUGCUACAAUGGACAAUACAAAGGGCAGCGAAACCGCGAGGUCAAGCAAAUCCCAUAAAGUUGUUCUCAGUUCGGAUUGUAGUCUGCAACUCGACUACAUGAAGCUGGAAUCGCUAGUAAUCGUAGAUCAGCAUGCUACGGUGAAUACGUUCCCGGGUCU
rnacentral:rRNA from 1 species